AUUACCGAGUUGCAUAAACUCCAAAACCCUCUGUGAACCUUACCGUCGUUGCCUCGGCGUGAGCCGCGGCUACCCGGGAGCUGCCCCGUAGCCGGCCCACGGCCCGCCGGAGGACCGCCGAACUCUUGCAUUUCUGACACUGUAUCUCUGAACGCGUAACUGAAACAAGUUAAAACUUUCAACAACGGAUCUCUUGGUUCUGGCAUCGAUGAAGAACGCAGCGAAAUGCGAUAAGUAAUGUGAAUUGCAGAAUUCAGUGAAUCAUCGAAUCUUUGAACGCACAUUGCGCCCGCUAGCAUUCUGGCGGGCAUGCCUAUUCGAGCGUCAUUUCGACCCUUAAGCCCCUGUUGCUUAGCGUUGGGAGUCUACGGCUGCGGCGUAGUUCCCGAAAGUCAGUGGCGGAGUUGGGGCACACCCUCGGCGUAGUAAGUUUUCCCUCGCCUGCGUGGUGGCCCCGGCUGCUGGCCGUUAAACGACCCUUAUAUCUUUCUAGUGGUUGGCCUCGAAUUAGGUAGGAAUACCCGCUGAACUUAAGCAUAUCAAUAAGCGGAGGAAAAGAAACCAACAGGGAUUGCCCUAGUAACGGCGAGUGAAGCGGCAACAGCUCAAAUUUGAAAUCUGGCCCUCGCGGUCCGAGUUGUAAUUUGUAGAGGAUGCUUUAGGCGCGGCGCCUUCCGAGUUCCCUGGAACGGGACGCCGGAGAGGGUGAGAGCCCCGUACGGUUGGACGCCUAGCCUGCGUAUAGCUCCUUCGACGAGUCGAGUAGUUUGGGAAUGCUGCUCUAAACGGGAGGUAAAUUUCUUCUAAAGCUAAAUACCGGCCAGAGACCGAUAGCGCACAAGUAGAGUGAUCGAAAGAUGAAAAGCACUUUGAAAAGAGGGUUAAAUAGCACGUGAAAUUGUUGAAAGGGAAGCGUUUGC
rnacentral:rRNA from 1 species